GGGUAGCGGCUGCGCGCGGCGGGAGAGUGGCAGCGUCGCGGGCGAGUGUGUGAGGCGAGCCGGCCUGUGGAAGUCGGAGGCGGCUCACGGCGCCCAUGGGGCCGGGGCGGGGGCGCCUGUAGCCGCGCAAGCCUGGGCCUCAGCCUCCCGGGGCCCCGCGGGUGGCGGCGCCCCUCGCCCGCUGCUCCACUCCGCCCUGAGGAAGUUCGCCGAGAACGAGCGGACCCGGCGGCGCGAAUCUGACCGAGGGGCGGGGACGCGGCCGCCGCCUCCGCGCUCCCGGGCGGCCCGGCGCUCGGAGCAGCCCCCAAGCCCCGAGCGGCACUAGGCCCGGAGGCGGCCGGACCCGAGCGCGAGCGGGCGGCCGUGUGGCGCGGGCGGCGGCAUGAGCCGGCCCCCGGCGCUGGGGAGAAUGCCAGGCGCCCCCGAGGCCGUGCCGGGGGACGGGGCUGGCGCGGGCCGCCAGAGGAAGCUGGAGGCGCUCAUCCGAGACCCCCGCUCACCCAUCAACGUGGAGAGCCUGCUGGAUGGCUUGAAUUCCUUGGUCCUUGAUUUGGAUUUUCCUGCUUUGAGGAAAAACAAGAAUAUAGAUAAUUUCUUAAAUAGAUAUGAGAAGAUUGUGAAAAAAAUCAGAGGUCUACAGAUGAAGGCAGAAGACUAUGAUGUUGUAAAAGUCAUCGGAAGAGGUGCUUUUGGUGAAGUCCAGUUGGUUCGUCAUAAGGCAUCACAGAAGGUUUAUGCAAUGAAGCUUCUUAGUAAGUUUGAAAUGAUUAAAAGAUCAGAUUCUGCUUUUUUCUGGGAAGAGAGAGAUAUUAUGGCCUUUGCCAACAGUCCCUGGGUUGUUCAGCUCUUUUGUGCCUUUCAAGAUGAUAGAUAUCUAUACAUGGUAAUGGAGUACAUGCCUGGAGGAGACCUUGUAAACCUUAUGAGUAACUAUGAUGUACCUGAAAAAUGGGCCAAAUUUUAUACUGCUGAAGUUGUUCUUGCUCUGGAUGCAAUACACUCCAUGGGUUUAAUACACAGAGAUGUGAAGCCUGACAAUAUGCUCUUGGACAAACAUGGACAUCUAAAAUUAGCUGAUUUUGGCACAUGUAUGAAGAUGGAUGAGACAGGUAUGGUGCACUGUGACACAGCAGUUGGGACACCUGAUUACAUAUCCCCUGAGGUUCUGAAGUCACAGGGCGGUGAUGGGUACUAUGGACGAGAAUGUGAUUGGUGGUCUGUAGGUGUUUUCCUUUUUGAGAUGCUGGUGGGGGAUACUCCAUUUUAUGCAGAUUCACUUGUAGGAACAUACAGCAAAAUUAUGGAUCAUAAAAACUCACUAUGUUUUCCUGAAGAUGCAGAAAUUUCUAAACAUGCAAAGAAUCUCAUCUGUGCCUUCUUAACUGAUAGGGAGGUACGACUUGGAAGAAAUGGCGUAGAAGAAAUAAAACAGCAUCCUUUCUUCAAGAAUGAUCAAUGGAAUUGGGAUAACAUAAGAGAGACUGCAGCUCCUGUAGUGCCUGAACUCAGCAGCGACAUAGACAGCAGCAAUUUUGAUGACCUUGAAGAUGAUAAAGGAGAUGUGGAAACCUUUCCAAUCCCUAAAGCUUUUGUGGGAAAUCAGCUGCCUUUUAUUGGAUUUACCUACUACAGAGAAAAUUUGUUAUUAAGUGACUUUCCACCUUGUAGAGAAAAUGAUUCAGUCCAAUCAAGGAAAAAUGAAGAAAGUCAAGAGAUUCAGAAAAAGCUAUACACUUUAGAAGAACACCUUAGCAAUGAGAUACAAGCAAAAGAAGAACUAGAGCAGAAGUGCAAAUCUGUUAAUACUCGCCUAGAGAAAAUAACAAAGGAGCUAGAAGAAGAGGUUACCUUAAGGAAAAACGUGGAAUCAGCAUUAAGACAAUUAGAAAGAGAAAAGGCACUUCUUCAACACAAAAAUGCAGAAUAUCAGCGGAAAGCUGAUUAUGAAGCAGACAAGAAACGGAAUUUGGAAAAUGAUGUUAACAGCUUAAAAGAUCAACUUGAAGAUUUGAAAAAAAGAAAUCAAAACUCUCAGAUAUCCACUGAGAAAGUGAACCAACUCCAGAGACAACUGGAUGAAACCAAUGCUUUGCUGCGAACAGAAUCUGAUACUGCAGCCCGAUUAAGAAAAACCCAGGCAGAAAGUUCAAAACAGAUCCAGCAGCUGGAAUCUAACAAUAGAGAUCUACAGGAUAAAAACUGUCUGCUGGAGACAGCCAAAUUAAAACUUGAAAAGGAAUUUAUCAAUCUUCAGUCAGCUCUGGAAUCUGAAAGGAGGGACCGAACCCAUGGAUCAGAGAUAAUUAGUGAUUUACAAGGUAGAAUAUCUGGCCUAGAAGAAGAUUUAAAGAGUGGCAAGAUCAUAUUAGCCAAAGUAGAGGUGGAGAAGAGACAACUACAGGAGAGAUUUACUGAUUUGGAAAAGGAAAAGAGCAACAUGGAAAUAGAUAUGACAUACCAACUAAAAGUUAUACAGCAGAGCUUAGAACAAGAAGAAGCUGAACAUAAGGCUACAAAAGCACGGCUAGCAGAUAAAAAUAAGAUCUAUGAAUCCAUUGAAGGAGCUAAAUCAGAAGCCAUGAAAGAAAUGGAGAAGAAGCUUUUAGAGGAAAGGACUUUAAAACAGAAAGUGGAGAACCUGUUGCUGGAAGCUGAGAAAAGAUGCUCUAUAUUAGACUGUGACCUUAAGCAGUCACAGCAGAAAAUAAAUGAGCUCCUUAAACAGAAAGAUGUGCUCAAUGAGGAUGUUAGAAACUUGACAUUAAAAAUAGAGCAGGAAACUCAGAAGCGCUGCCUUACGCAAAAUGACUUGAAGAUGCAAACACAGCAAGUUAACACACUAAAAAUGUCAGAAAAGCAGUUAAAACAAGAGAAUAAUCAUCUCAUGGAAAUGAAAAUGAGCUUGGAAAAACAAAAUGCUGAACUUCGAAAAGAACGUCAGGAUGCAGAUGGGCAAAUGAAAGAGCUCCAAGAUCAGUUUGAAGCUGAGCAGUAUUUCUCAACCCUCUAUAAAACACAGGUUAGGGAACUUAAAGAAGAAUGUGAAGAAAAGACCAAACUUUGUAAAGAAUUACAGCAGAAGAAACAAGAAUUACAGGAUGAAAGAGACUCCUUGGCUGCCCAGCUGGAGAUCACCUUGACCAAAGCAGAUUCUGAGCAGCUAGCUCGUUCAAUUGCCGAAGAACAAUAUUCUGACUUAGAAAAAGAGAAAAUCAUGAAAGAGCUGGAGAUCAAAGAGAUGAUGGCUAGACACAAACAGGAGCUUACUGAAAAAGAUGCUACAAUUGCAUCUCUUGAAGAAACGAAUAGGACACUAACUAGUGAUGUUGCCAAUCUUGCGAAUGAGAAGGAAGAAUUAAAUAACAAAUUGAAAGAUGCUCAAGAGCAAUUAGCAAGGUUGAAAGAUGAAGAGAUAAGUGCAGCAGCUAUUAAAGCACAAUUUGAGAAACAGUUGUUAACAGAGAGAACACUCAAAACUCAAGCUGUGAAUAAGUUGGCUGAGAUCAUGAAUCGAAAAGAACCUGUCAAGCGUGGUAGUGACACAGAUGUGCGGAGAAAAGAGAAGGAAAAUAGAAAGCUCCAUAUGGAACUUAAAUCUGAACGUGAAAAAUUGACUCAGCAGAUGAUCAAGUAUCAGAAAGAACUGAAUGAAAUGCAGGCCCAAAUCGCUGAGGAGAGUCAGAUUCGAAUAGAACUGCAGAUGGCCCUGGACAGUAAGGACAGUGACAUCGAGCAGCUGCGGUCCCAGCUGCAGGCCUUGCACAUCGGUCUCGAUAGUUCCAGUGUGGGCAGUGGACCAGGUGAUGCUGAGGCUGAUGACGGGUUUCCAGUUCAUAUCACUCAGUCACACACUAUGGAAUCCAUGUCAUUCACCUACCAACGCUCCUCCACUUCUGUCAGUAUUGCCACUAAGCCUUCCAGUUCUCACAUGCUUGUUGACUCUGAUUCUGACUCAGAAGAAGAAUCCUUGCCUUACUUACCUAUUUCAUCGGAACCUAGUGGUACAGAAUCAAGAUUAGAAGGAUGGCUUUCAUUGCCUUUGCGAAACAAUACUAAGAAAUUUGGAUGGGCUAAGAAGUAUGUGAUUGUAAGCAGUAAGAAGAUUCUUUUCUAUGACAGUGAACAAGAUAAAGAGCAGUCUAACCCUUACAUGGUUUUAGAUAUAGACAAAUUAUUUCAUGUUCGACCAGUUACACAGACAGAUGUAUAUAGAGCAGAUGCUAAAGAAAUUCCAAGGAUAUUCCAGAUUCUGUAUGCCAAUGAAGGAGAAAGUAAAAAGGAACCAGAAUUUCCAGUGGAACCAGUGGGAGAAAAAUCUAAUUAUAUUUGUCAUAAGGGGCAUGAAUUUAUUCCUACUCUUUAUCAUUUCCCAACUAACUGUGAGGCAUGUAUGAAGCCACUGUGGCAUAUGUUUAAACCUCCUCCUGCUUUAGAGUGCCGUCGCUGCCAUAUUAAAUGUCAUAAAGAUCACAUGGACAAAAAAGAGGAGAUUAUAGCACCUUGCAAAGUGUAUUAUGAUAUUUCAACGGCAAAGAAUCUAUUGUUAUUAGCAAAUUCUACGGAAGAGCAGCAAAAGUGGGUUAGCCGGUUGGUGAAAAAAAUACCUAAAAAGCCUCCAGCCCCAGACCCUUUUGCACGGUCAUCUCCUAGAACUUCAAUGAAGAUUCAACAAAACCAGUCUGUUAGACGGCCAAGUCGACAGCUUGCUCCGAACAAACCAAGGACCUUCAGUAUAUGAAUUAUGAUGUGCAUUGGCUGUAUUAUCAGAAAUCUUAUCAUUCUAACCACAAACAUCUUAUAUGAAACUUUCUUGAAACUAAUAUCUCAAGGAAAUAAUUUAGAAUGACAAAGGUAGAAUGGUGUUUCAGCAAUGAAAAUGUUGAAUGUUUUGUGUGAGCUAACUGCCUUCUGUGAAUGCAGUGAUUACUCAUGGUGAUCAGAUUCUUCCAGUAAAACAGGACUGAAAUAUGAUGGCCCAAAGUUUAUUUAAAAGCUAUAUUUUCCUGAGAGACUGAUACACACACAUAUAUGCCACAACAGAAAUUACAAAUCUUGGAGAGAUUUUCUGGGUUCCUUUCAACAACGAGUUGAACUAACAGUGAUUGGUCAGUAGAGUAAGGGCACCAGAAGCAACUCUCCCAGACUUGUUCCGUAGAGCUCUCUUGGCCGUCACUCACACUACAUUGCACAGAAGGCUUGGGAAGAGUUAGAAUUUAAAGAAAUCAUCUUUUCAGCUUCAACAGAGAGAUUUCACCAGCACAUUUACCAGAAGAAUCUGGAAGUGGAUUCCACUACAGUGAUAAAGGCUGCAUCGUUAAGAAGUGACCGUUAUACUGUGUGUGAGUGUUUAUAUACACACACACAGUACUGUAAUACUGCAAGAGGGUUUUUAAACUUCCCACUUUAUUUUUUUAAACACAAUAAUCAGUUAUUAUUAUUUACUGCGGUUGCAACUAUGCACUUGUGUAAAGCCAUGAUGUUGGAGUUGGUAUCAUCCAUUCAUGUGUUCCCGAUAGAAGCUGCGUGUCUGUGGGUAGGCAGUAAGGUAACACAAUAUUUGAAGUUGAUUAUAUCAGUUUCCUAAUACUGUAACUUUACCAUUUUGAUUUAAUUUUUUUUAAAAUCUCUGUUCUUUAUCUGGAUUUUGAAAAAAGAACAAGUGUUUGUUUAUCAGCUCUUAGGAUGCAAAUUUGCUUUGUAGAAGAAAGUGCACUAUUUUUCACAAAAUAGUUAUAUCAUUGUCAGCCUAUUUUAAGUGUAUGAUAAUUUUUUAAAAAAAUGGUCCUAGAAACAAUAAUGAAUAGUAUUAGAACUAAUAUAUCUUUGUAUAUCUAUUAAUUAUCCACCCCUUUUACAGACCUCAGUAUUAGUGUGUGACUUAAUAAGUGCUAUGAAAUGUUUUCUUUGCUUUGAAUUUGCUGGCUAUCCUAGAUGUAUUUUUAUUUCUGGUAAAAAAAAAACUGUGAUUAUUUUUACAUUUUCACACUCAAGAUUCAAAAAUUGUCUCAAAUAUAAAGUAAACUAAGAUAUAUCUACAGUAUAUUUUAAAUAUUUAAAUGUGAUCCUCAAACACACAACUGUGUAUGACAAUAUUUCAGUAUUGGGUUUAGAAAACUAGUAACUGGGAAGAGAAGUGGCCUCAAAGGCACUUAAUUUGAUUUUUGUUUUUUAAAUGCUAUAAAAGUAACAGUUUAUGUAGGCCCAUUCCCAUUCCAUUUCUCGUACCAGAAAAGUAUGUUUUAUAUCACUACAGUAUGCAGCAAUGGCAAGCAUUGAGUUAAAAAAAAAAAAAAAAAUCACGUAAUCGUUUAUCAGUCUCUAUAUACACACACAAAUGCAGAGUUUGGUAUGACAUUGAAAUAUAGCAUCUAAUAUUUCAACAAAGUAGAUAUUUCAUUGAUUCACUCUGGGAUCAAUCAAUGCAGAGAUAGUUUAAAGAGUUAGAUCCUCAAUUAUGGAUACUGCUAUCGUGGAAAUUGAAGGCCUUUGGCCUGCUGGUGUACUGAAACUGAAUUUUAUUAUUUCUACACUAUCCGAUCUGCAUUCUUUCAUGCUUUUUGUGCUAAAACUAGAUAUGCCGCUUCCCUUGCAGGUAUGUUCUCUUGCAUUCUGGUUUUGAGGCACAGUUUUUUGUUUUUUUGUUUUUUUGUUUAAAGUAAGAUUAAGAAAUGAAAACUAUAUAAAAUUUAUAUAGAAUAAAUAUUUCCACUCAUUAGACUUGUUAAAAGGAGACUGGAUUAAUAUUUUAUAUAAAGAUUUUGUUACACUAUGGGAGGUUCUAUUAUCUGAAUUGGAGAGUAUAUAUAUAUAUAUAUAUAUAUAUAUUUUUAAUAAACUUUAUUAAGGCGAAAUGAUUUGAAGUUUACAUAUAGGUAAUUGAAAUAUUUGAGUAAAAAGGCAAAAGUUUAUGUUUUGAAAGCUGUAUAUAUUAGAGAAUAUGGAGAAUCAUGUGAUGCAAUUGUAUAAGGGAAAUCAAUGUGAAGUUUGGGGGGAAGAAAAGAUUUUCUGAGGGGUGAAAAAAAAAACUCUCUCCCAUGGAGAUUCUUCACAUUUAUGGCUUAACAUAAGGGUUGUUUAUAAGGUUGUUGGUUUAACUAAUGGAAAUGCGCAUAAUAAAAAAAUUUUGACGUUGGGUAAGAUGUUACUUUUACCCAUUGCCGCUUCCAUGUGCAUACGUGAGUGCAUUCACCUAUCCAAGUGUUCUCUUCCCAACACUCAUUAAAUAUGACACUGACUUGAUUUAACAACCUGA